AAAAAAAAUAAAACCCUUCAGUCAAAACAACAUUUGGGGGAGAGAAGGAGGGAGGGGGAGAGGAGUCCUCCUCACAGUUCGUUAAUUGGUUCUUUCACCUGACAGUAGUUUGUGUCAAUUAACUUGAUACUCAGUGAAAGUGAAAUUAAUCCACCUGGGUNNNNNNNNNNNNNNNACAGAUUUGUAGCUCCACUUAGAAUAAACAAGAUACGCAUGAGGUGGAAUGUGCCACAGGCUCUGCUCCGCCGAGGUGCUCCUGGGGAUAAUUUCUUUCUCUUCUGCAAAGGGCAGAGGUGCAGCUUGCCAGGUGACUCCAAAGGGACCACAGAGGGACAACCCCAUCACCUGCCAAGAGCAUUUGGAGAAGCAGAUGAUGGUUCUGCAGCCAGCACAGCCCAGCCCAGCUCUUCUGGAGAUGACAGAUGGAAGAUUAAUCAUGAACUAGGAAUAAACUGUUCUUCAGAGGAUCCAAGAGGAAAUUCCCAUUGGAACUCUGCAGCUGCUCUGCUGUGGUAGGAGCCCUGUGGGGGAUUUUUCUCUGCCCUGAAGCUCCAGCUGUGGUGCUGGGCAGGGGAAGCAGCUCACGGGGCACUGACCUUGCCCAGGGGGAGCUGGCAGUGGUUGGCAUCUGUGCUGCCACUGCAGUGAACAAGCACUGGGAGACCUGAAAUGAGGUGUCAGUGCUGCUGCAGCCUGCAGUGCCUCAGUCCUGUGCUAGAGCAGCUCACUCAGACACCUACACUCACAGCUCUUCUCACUUUCUCAUUACUUUUUAGACAAUAAAAGCAAAAUAUUACCUGUUGGUUGUCAAGGUAUUAAGCCUUAGAGCACAUUUUUCCCCCCUCUUUUUUUUUCUUUCCCUAAGUAGUGUCUUGUCUUGGGANUUUGAUUUUUUUUUUUUUUUACUGCUAUGAGUAUUUAUUCUUUUGUGAGGUGAACCUGUCUGCACACCAGAGUGCUGAGGGCAAUUUAUACCUGUGCAACUUAUUACCUGCUCCUGCACUGAUUUGGCCAACUGGAUCAGAAAAGUCCCUCCAUCUGCAGUAAUUCAUUAAUCAAUGGUACCUCACUCCUCAUGCAGGGGAGCCUGAUCUCAUGUGUGACACUGCUCUUUCAGGUGUUCCUCUUUCCAAUAUUGUAAUUAAAGGAAAUCUGACCUAUGUGCUGGAGUUAAUAGAUAUUUUUAUUACACAUGCUCGAAGACAUAAAAUGGUUGCUCAUUCUUCCUUCUCUUCCAGCUCUGUCUGCCUGGUCCACUUAGCUGCCAGGAUUGCCUGGAGAAUGUGUAACCUGGAUUAUUGUUAGGAUUUGAACAGAGAAGAAGAUAUUCUCCAGUGACAGGGAAAGGCAAGUGAGUGACAAAGGAGUGACAGCCUCCUCCAAUGUCUCAUAUGCAGAGGAUAUUAAUAGGCAGCAGCAAGACAAGGAUGUGGUUCAGAGCACGGAGGGGCUGUGUCUGUCACACACUGGCAGCAGCAGAACCAAUAAUAACAACUUUAUCCAGCCAGGAAGAUUAGCUGGAACCUGCCACCACCCUUGAUGUUUUCAUGGAAGGUGCCCCAAAAUCUGUAGUGAGCGUAAACCACCUCAUUAACUCCCCAUCCCACAGGGGAGAUCUUCAGCAGCAAAGGGACCACAAAGCUGGAAUAUCCCAUAUGUGCUCCAUCAAAGGGAUCCUGCCAGGUGGUGGCUUGUAGGCACUGCUUCCUGGAGCAUCCCUGCGUCCACUGCUCUUCCAGGCACUUCCAGCUGAUUCUGCCUCACCAGGGUUGUGACAGAACAGCCUCAGCUGCACUGUUUGUAUGGCACAGAGGGCAGCAAUCCUCAGGAACUGCUCUGCACCUCGCCCUGUGUUACCGGCCUUUAGCAACUCCUUCUUUUCAUGCUUUUGUAUUUUUUUGGUUUUGUCUUUUUAAUAAUUUCUGUAACUAAGCAUGAGGUUGGUAGGCAGUGUGAUGCUUUGAGAAGACGAAGCUUACAUUUCUGAUUAUUUAUUUGUAUCUCUUGUAAAUAGGUAAUCCUUUUUUUUCCCUUUCAAGUUAAUGUAAUUUAGUUGCAGAGAGAUUAGGGAGCUUAUCUGAACAUGGGGAGGAAGUUUGGUGUUCUGAGGCUUAAACCUUCAUAAUCAGAAAUGUUGCUUCCUCCUUUGCUCCAGCUUAUAAUAACCACAUCAGGUGCUCAAACCAAUAACAUGCAUCCACACAAGAAGCCUGUCCCCAAGUCUAAUAAUAUCUGUAAUGACUUGGAUGCAGGCUCUAGCUGGGGAUUAAUGACUAACUGGCUUUAAUGGGCCUCAGAUCAUCAACUGCCUCUCUGCUGGUCAUUAAUCCCCAGGAAACAGCCUGUGCUGAAACUACCAUUGCUUAAUUAGAACAUGGUUGGCCAGUUGCUGCACAGCACUGGCUGUGGCUUUGGGGGAAUAAAGGGAAUAAAAUGGCUUUAUGAACCUGUUGAGUGUCAGAUGGACCUUCUGCCAUUCUCCAUGUGCCCAGAGACAGUGCAUCCUUAGGGACAGACUGGAAUUCUGCCUCUUCAUCCUUGGGCUCUUUCUGACUCAGGAAAGUCCUUAUUUCAUUUCAAGGCAGAAAAUUCUACAUUCCUUUAGAACUGCUAGUAAGGUCUAAAUGGCAGUGAACUGUAUUUUUUCAGAGAUGGUAAAAGUGUGUUUUUAAUGGAAAAUACCAGGUUUAAGUCACCUCCUUUACUGUGGUGUGAUGGGUUCUCCCUUCUUUCCACAUUUUGUGUUUAUUCCUUGCAUUUUUCUUGUUAGUCUAGAGCCAUAAGGGAGAUACAUUUCACCUGUAACUUUCUAAGAAUAACAGAGAUUUAAUUUUUGCCUAGUUUGUAUACACGAGGAUCCUCCCUUACUUAAGAUAUUGGAAAACUCCUUUAUUUUUCAGAAUUCUUUGACCACUGUUUGUUCAAACCCCAGUUUGAAGAUACUUUUUCAGUGGCAAUAUUAAUUAUUCAUUAUGUCCCCAAACAGCAUAACCCUACUUGUACCUGCUCCAAAUGUGAUCCAAAGCCCAGUGAAAUCUUUGUUUUCAUGGGUUUGGAUCAGGCCCUGGAAACACCUGGAUUUCAUGAAUGAAGCUCCACACUCUGCUGGGUAUAAGGCUUGUGCUGUCCAUGGGCUUUGCUGUAAUUAAGUUUAUUCUUCCCAACCUCAGGCUGAUCCCUUGUUUUGAUGGCCUGUGCUCCUUUGCUUCCCAUUAUCAUGAAUAGUGUUUGAUGCCAGAAGAGAGGGGGGAAGACACUUUUUCCACAGCCUCAUGUGAAAUUCUGAACAUUUAGACAUCUCUAGAAUAUACUCCACACACAUUCCACUUUUAUAAGGCCAGUAUAACACUUUGAAAAGUUUUAUGAAUUCCGGGAUGUAAGCAGAGUCCUCGUUAACCUGUUUGGGAUAAGCCCUAAUGGCCUGGCCCCGGAGUUGCACAGUCACUCCCUGGGCUGUUUAUGAGCAGUAGUUGUGACCAGGUCAUUGGGAAUGGAGCACCAUCAGUGUCUCCCCACGGGUCUGGCUGCCCACUCCAGCCUAGUUAAAAUUUUAGGAGCAGUAAAUGGGGGGAUCAUGAGUAUGAGCUGAUAUUUUGACCAGUAUUUCCAGACUCACUGGAUCCUGCAUCACCCAUUAGGCUCCAAAUGCUUUCCAUAAAAGCACAGCCUCACAGCUGCCAGGACAGCUAAAAGUGGAAACCUGCACCACAAAUCCAUGGCAGGAAGUGAUGGAAAGUGAUCAUGGCACAGUCUGAUGCUGCCUCCCGUGCUGUCAUCCACAAACCCUGGGGCACUGCCAGGAAUUGGAACUGCAUUGGACAGCCACACUUAUGAUGCUCUUGUGAAGCACACAGGUAUUUGGAGCUUUAUUUAGAGAUUUGUGGGCUCCAUAGAAAAAGAUGUGUAGAGGUGGAGUGGAAGGUUGACCAUUUGCUGUAUAAAACACCAGUCAGGACAAGGUCAGCAGGGGUCACUUGCUUUAUGUCAUGCAUCCCUCCCCGUCAUUGGAGGAACCACAGAGGUUUUUGCAGGUUUUGUUUGGU
ensembl:lncRNA